AACGAACGCUGGCGGCGUGCCUAACACAUGCAAGUCGAGCGCGAAUGGAGCAAUCCUAGUAGAGCGGCGCACGGGUGCGUAACACGUGGGUAAUCUGCCUCAAAGCCCGGGAUAACCUGCCGAAAGGCAAGCUAAUACCGGAUAAGCCUACGGACUCUUCGGGGUCUGAAGGAAAAGGUGGCCUCUGUAUACAAGCUAUCACUUUGAGAUGAGCCCGCGGCCCAUCAGCUCGUUGGCGGGGUAACGGCCCACCAAGGCAACGACGGGUAGCUGGUCUGAGAGGACGAUCAGCCACACUGGAACUGAGACACGGUCCAGACUCCUACGGGAGGCAGCAGUGGGAAUUUUGCGCAAUGGGCGGAAGCCUGACGCAGCGACGCCGCGUGGGGGAUGACGGCCUCGG
rnacentral:rRNA from 1 species